UACAGAGGGUGCAAGCGUUAAUCGGAAUUACUGGGCGUAAAGCGCGCGUAGGUGGUUCGUUAAGUUGGAUGUGAAUCCCCGGGCUCAACCUGGGAACUGCAUUCAAAACUGUCGAGCUAGAGUAUGGUAGAGGGUGGUGGAAUUUCCUGUGUAGCGGUGAAAUGCGUAGAUAUAGGAAGGAACACCAGUGGCGAAGGCGACCACCUGGACUGAUACUGACACUGAGGUGCGAAAGCGUGGGGAGCAAACAGG
rnacentral:rRNA from 1 species